AUUGAACGCUGGCGGCAGGCUUAACACAUGCAAGUCGAGCGGAGAUGAGGUGCUUGCAUCUUAUCUUAGCGGCGGACGGGUGAGUAAUGCUUAGGAAUCUGCCUAUUAGUGGGGGACAACAUUCCGAAAGGAAUGCUAAUACCGCAUACGCCCUACGGGGGAAAGCAGGGGAUCUUCGGACCUUGCGCUAAUAGAUGAGCCUAAGUCGGAUUAGCUAGUUGGUGGGGUAAAGGCCUACCAAGGCGACGAUCUGUAGCGGGUCUGAGAGGAUGAUCCGCCACACUGGGACUGAGACACGGCCCAGACUCCUACGGGAGGCAGCAGUGGGGAAUAUUGGACAAUGGGCGGAAGCCUGAUCCAGCCAUGCCGCGUGUGUGAAGAAGGCCUUUUGGUUGUAAAGCACUUUAAGCGAGGAGGAGGCUACCUGGAUUAAUACUCUAGGAUAGUGGACGUUACUCGCAGAAUAAGCACCAGCUAACUCUGUGCCAGCCGCCGCCGUAAAAC
rnacentral:rRNA from 1 species